AGAGUUUGAUCCUGGCUCAGAUUGAACGCUGGCGGCAUGCCUUACACAUGCAAGUCGAACGGCAGCAUGAUCUAGCUUGCUAGAUUGAUGGCGAGUGGCGAACGGGUGAGUAAUACAUCGGAACGUGCCCUGUAGUGGGGGAUAACUAGUCGAAAGAUUAGCUAAUACCGCAUACGACCUGAGGGUGAAAGUGGGGGACCGCAAGGCCUCAUGCUAUAGGAGCGGCCGAUGUCUGAUUAGCUAGUUGGUGAGGUAAAGGCUCACCAAGGCGACGAUCAGUAGCUGGUCUGAGAGGACGAUCAGCCACACUGGGACUGAGACACGGCCCAGACUCCUACGGGAGGCAGCAGUGGGGAAUUUUGGACAAUGGGGGCAACCCUGAUCCAGCAAUGCCGCGUGUGUGAAGAAGGCCUUCGGGUUGUAAAGCACUUUUGUCCGGAAAGAAAUCGCACUUACUAAUAUUAGGUGUGGAUGACGGUACCGGAAGAAUAAGGACCGGCUAACUACGUGCCAGCAGCCGCGGUAAUACGUAGGGUCCAAGCGUUAAUCGGAAUUACUGGGCGUAAAGCGUGCGCAGGCGGUUGUGCAAGACCGAUGUGAAAUCCCCGGGCUUAACCUGGGAAUUGCAUUGGUGACUGCACGGCUAGAGUGUGUCAGAGGGGGGUAGAAUUCCACGUGUAGCAGUGAAAUGCGUAGAGAUGUGGAGGAAUACCGAUGGCGAAGGCAGCCCCCUGGGAUAACACUGACGCUCAUGCACGAAAGCGUGGGGAGCAAACAGGAUUAGAUACCCCAGUAGUCC
rnacentral:rRNA from 1 species